rnacentral:rRNA from 1 species
UAGGGAAUCUUCCGCAAUGGGCGAAAGCCUGACGGAGCAACGCCGCGUGAGUGAUGAAGGUCUUCGGAUCGUAAAACUCUGUUAUUAGGGAAGAAUAAAUGUGUAAGUAACUAUGCACGUCUUGACGGUACCUAAUCAGAAAGCCACGGCUAACUACGUGCCAGCAGCCGCGGUAAUACGUAGGUGGCAAGCGUUAUCCGGAAUUAUUGGGCGUAAAGCGCGCGUAGGCGGUUUUUUAAGUCUGAUGUGAAAGCCCACGGCUCAACCGUGGAGGGUCAUUGGAAACUGGAAAACUUGAGUGCAGAAGAGGAAAGUGGAAUUCCAUGUGUAGCAGUGAAAUGCGCAGAGAUAUGGAGGAACACCGGUGGCGAAAGCGGCUCUCUGGUCUGUAACUGACGCUGAGGCUCGAAAGCGUGGGGAGCGAACAGG